AGUGAACGCUGGCGGCGUGCUAAACACAUGCAAGUCGAACGAGAACGGAUUAUAGCUUGCUAUAAUUGUCAGCUAAGUGGCGCACGGGUGAGUAAUGUGUAGGUAAUAUGCCUCUUACUAAGGGAUAACAAAUGGAAACGUUUGCUAAUACCUUAUACUCCUUAUUAACAGAAGUUAAUAAGGGAAAGAUUUAUUGGUAAGAGAUUAGCCUGUAUUGUAUCAGUUAGUUGGUGGGGUAAUGGCUUACCAAGACUAUGACACAUAACUGGUUUGAGAGGGUGAUCAGUCACACUGGAACUGAGACACGGUCCAGACUCCUACGGGAGGCAGCAGUGGGGAAUAUUGCACAAUGGACGAAAGUCUGAUGCAGCAACGCCGCGUGGAGGAUGACACAUUUCGGUGCGUAAACUCCUUUUAUAUGAGAAGAUAAUGACGGUAUUAUAUGAAUAAGCACCGGCUAACUCCGUGCCAGCCGCCGCUGUAA
rnacentral:rRNA from 1 species